rnacentral:rRNA from 1 species
AGCGAACGCUGGCGGCAGGCCUAACACAUGCAAGUCGAACGAACCCUUCGGGGUUAGUGGCGGACGGGUGAGUAACACGUGGGAACGUGCCUUUAGGUUCGGAAUAACUCAGGGAAACUUGUGCUAAUACCGAAUGUGCCCUACGGGGGAAAGAUUUAUCGCCUUUAGAGCGGCCCGCGUCUGAUUAGCUAGUUGGUGAGGUAAUGGCUCACCAAGGCUACGAUCAGUAGCUGGUCCGAGAGGAUGACCAGCCACAUUGGGACUGAGACACGGCCCAAACUCCUACGGGAGGCAGCAGUGGGGAAUCUUGCGCAAUGGGCGAAAGCCUGACGCAGCCAUGCCGCGUGGAUGAUGAAGGUCUUAGGAUUGUAAAAUCCUUUCACCGGUGAAGAUAAUGACUGUAGCCGGAGAAGAAGCCCCGGCUAACUUCGUGCCAGCCGCCGCCGUAAGAC